GUGUAUAUUGAGAAGAGAUGGAAAACUAAUGUCCUGCCUUGGCAAAGCCUUCCCAAAUGCUACUAGAACUAGUAGCAAGACAAGCUGUGGAUUUGACAACAGAAGCCACAAACGGAUAGCAUAUUCAUAUCCAAGGACAAAGGCCCACAUCCUUCAACUCACUGACUUCCAUGGGACUCCACCAGAUGCAGCAAAUUGCAGGACGAGGAAUAAGUGAAGACAUUGGGGACACACUCUGUAGUAGCUGUAAAGCAAGAUGGAUCUAACAUGCCUGACUUCAAAUCAUACAGGGAGAUGAGCUGUAGGCCUGGGAAAUUUGAACACUUGAAAUAAAG